rnacentral:snoRNA from 1 species
UCUACAUGAUGAGACAUUUUUAUUCAGUUCUGCUUCUGAACUAAAGUGAAGAUACCCCAUAUACCAAAGUCUACUCUCUGAAUU